GUACCACCUUGUAGCAGGCCCAGUGUGCUAGUACCACCAGGUAUGUGAGUAUCACCAGGUAUGUGAGUAUCACCAGGUAUGUGAGUAUCACCUUGUAGCAGGCCCAGUGUGCUAGUACCACCAGGUAGGUGUGAGUAUCACCUUGUAGCAGGCCCAGUGUGCUAGUACCACCAGGUAUGUGAGUACCACCACCAGGUAUGUGAGUACCACCAACAGGUAUGUGAGUAUCACCUUGUAGCAGGCCCAGUGUGCUAGUACCACCAGGUAUGUGAGUACCACCAGGUAUGUG